rnacentral:misc_RNA from 1 species
GAUGAAGAACGUAGCGAAAUGCGAUACGUAAUGUGAAUUGCAGAAUUCAGUGAAUCAUCGAAUCUUUGAACGCACAUUGCACUCUCUGGUAUUCCGGAGAGCAUGCUUGUUUGAGUAUCUGUAAACAUCUCAAAUCUCUCUUCAAUUGCUUCAAUUGGGUCGAGAGAAUUGGAUUUGAGCGAUCCCGACUCCUUCGUCAGAAAGAGGAGGGUCGCUUGAAAUGCAGGUGCAGCUGGACAUUCUUCUGAGCAAAAAGCAUAUCUAUUUAGUCCCGUCAAACGGAUUAUUACUUUUGCUUCAGCUAAUAUAAAGGUUGAAUGAACUACCAACGCUGAUUGCAGGAAAACAUGUUCGUUUAUUCGGACUUGUAAACUCGAUCUCAAAUCAAGUAAGACUACCCGCUGAACUUAAGCAUAUCAAUAAGCGGAGGA